AACAACUCACCUGCCGAAUGAAUUAGCCCUGAAAAUGGAUGGCGCUUAAGCGGGUAGCCGACACCACGCCGUCUGGGCGAGAACUGUUCCCAGAUGAGUAGGAGGACGUGGCGGUCGUAUCGAAGCGUACGUGCGAACGUGCGUGGAACGGCCGCUAGUGCAGAUCUUGGUGUUAGUAGCAAAUAUUCAAACGAGAACCUUGAAGGGCGAAGCGGGGAAGGGUUCUACGCGAACAUUGAUUGAGCGUAGGUGAGUCGUCCCUAAGCCGCGUGGCAAUAGCUAAUUACUGGCGAAAGGGAAGCAGGUUGAUAUUCCUGCACACGGAUGUGAAAGCGGCGACGCACUAGCCUUGGCGAUGAAGCUGGCGAUGGCACUGGGCAGAGUUAUCUUUUCUGUUUGACCGUACUCAACGCGCUGUGUGGAAUCCGCUUGUCGGGAGAAACACGCGUGUUUGGGCAGAGCGCCGGGACUUUUCCGGCGUCCAGAUCGCCUUCGUCGGACCCUGAAAAAUUGCCCACAGGCCUUUGAAAAUUCACGCCGUAACGUACCGAUAACCGCAUCAGGUCCCCAAGGUGAACAGCCUCUGCUCGAUAUGGAAAAU
rnacentral:rRNA from 1 species